UAUGGCCAUACCACCCUGAACUUGCCCAAUCACAUCUGAUCUAGGAAGCUAAGCAGGGUUGGGUCAGUUAGUACUUGGAUGGGAGAAGAAGACAAAUAAAAAACAUAA
ensembl:rRNA 5S_rRNA 5S ribosomal RNA